rnacentral:rRNA from 1 species
AUAGCGUAUAUUAAAGUUGUUGCAGUUAAAAAGCUCGUAGUUGAACUUCAGGCUUGGUUGGUUGGUCCGCCUCACGGUGUGUACCGAUCGACCGAGCCUUACCUCUUGGUGAGCCAGCAUGCCGUUUAUUCGGUGUGUUGGGGAACCAGGAUUUUUACUUUGAAAAAAUUAGAGUGUUCAAAGCAGGCCUAUGCCCGAAUACAUUAGCAUGGAAUAAUAGAAUAGGACGUGCGGUUCUAUUUUGUUGGUUUCUAGGAUCGCCGUAAUGAUUAAUAGGGAUAGUUGGGGGCAUUAGUAUUCAGUUGCUAGAGGUGAAAUUCUUGGAUUUACUGAAGACUAACUACUG